rnacentral:rRNA from 1 species
AACGAACGCUGGCGGCGUGCUUAACACAUGCAAGUCGAACGGUGACCCUCGGAGCUUGCUUCGGGGCGAGCAGUGGCGAACGGGUGAGUAACACGUGAGUAACCUGCCCCUGACUCUGGAAUAAGCGCUGGAAACGGCGUCUAAUACCGGAUACGACACGCCUCCGCAUGGGGAGCGUGUGGAAAGUUUUUCGGUCUGGGAUGGACUCGCGGCCUAUCAGCUUGUUGGUGAGGGAAUGGCUCACCAAGGCGAUGACGGGUAGCCGGCCUGAGAGGGCGACCGGCCACACUGGGACUGAGACACUGCCCAGACUCCUACGGGAGGCAGCAGUGGGGAAUAUUGCACAAUGGGCGAAAGCCUGAUGCAGCGACGCCGCGUGAGGGAUGACGGCCUUCGGGUUGUAAACCUCUUUCAGCAGGGAAGAAGCGAAAGUGACGGUACCUGCAGAAGAAGCACCGGCUAACUACGUGCCAGCAGCCGCAGUAAUAC